rnacentral:lncRNA from 1 species
CAAGUUUUAGCCUUCAAACCCACAAAUCGCAGCAUCAAGUACCACAUAAGUCUUCAAUAUUGGGCAGUGGGUAGAACCUGAUGUUUUUGCUUGUUUAACAUUUGCUGCACUGCUGUAUCUUUAAAAUGCUGCAACAGCUACUUAAUUUCUCCAGUAUUACAUUGGUUGAGCUUUUAUUUAUUUAUUUAUUUAUUUGGGAGGUAUUAAUUUAUUUUGAAGAGGUUAUUGUUUUUUAUUACUAAUGAUAUCUAUAUUUCUUCUUCUUCUUUACAUGGUGGAAGGUGUGCCACACCUCAGCGGCACAGCACUAACUCUGGGCACCUGCCCUGGCUGUGUCACAGCAGACAGAACAUUGGAGGUGUCUGUGUCACAAAGAGUGGCAUGGGCUGCCCAGGAUGGGUAUAAGAAGGGCUGCUGGCAGUGCUGACGUCAGAAGAGCAGCUGGGCCACUCAUUAUUCCAGCAAAAUGAACUUCCUUACAAGACAGACAAAUGGAGCGUACUGUGAAGUUACGUGCAAGGACCUGUGGUUUUCCAGAUAAGGAACAUACUGCACGACAGCCAGGUGACCUACAUUUACAGCUGAAGACAAAAAGCCAAGCCAACAGGGAAUUGCAUCUAACAUACAGACACAGAAGGGGGGCUACUCAGAUGGACCAUGCUUUUUAAAAGGGAAACCUGAGCAGGAGCAGCUGCAUGGGGACAGUUUUUCCUGCUGCCAUACAUAAGAAACAAACCAGAUCAAUACUUAAUUUCCAAGGAUUACCUUUGAUUGACAAUACCCAUUUUGUAAGUGCCUGUCCCAUUGCUGUCCUGGGUCCUAGCAAAGGAACUGACUGCUCCAAGAUACGUCUUCUGUUCAGAACUAAAAGAUUUUUGCUCUAUUUACAAUUUUAAGGCAAGUCUUUUUUCAUAAAUACUAGACUUGCCUGUUUAGAGGUUUGACAUUUUAUUGACAGCCAUACAAGUUAGAUUAUGCAGAUGGAACAGACGCUGCCAUUUUUAGGUAUAAUUAACAUUUCAUUUCCUUUCAAACAAUUUCCCCCAUCAUGUUCAGCACUAUCCGGGCAAUGGGAACGUUCAAAAGAACACUCCACUGCAGGUUUGUGUUAUUUAAAAACAACAACAAAACACAAACAAACAAACAAACAAAACUAGAAACCACACAGCUUAUUUUUUGAACUCAAGAACUGAAGUUUUUUUUUUUCUUUAAUAUCGAUGUUCUACCAUUGAGUUAAUACCAGGUAAAUUUAAAUAUUUUAAUAUAUUUUUUAGCUUUAAAUAUCUUUUUAGUAUUUAAAUAUCUUUUCAGUGAGUUAAUACCAAGUAACUUUAAAUAUUUUAAUAUUUAAAUAUCUUUUUUUAGUUUUGUUUCAUUUAAUUUCUCUCACAGACUUAAAAGUCAUCUUAUUUUUUUCUUGAAGAAGAGUAAGAAAGGAGACCAUGAAUCUCCCUGACGUUUGCACAAACAACCGGGUUUGCAUUCCCAUCAACCCAACACCUUGCUGUGUACGUACAGGAGCCCUGUUACAGUCCUUGUGAGCUUCUGAGGUGUGUAAAAGAGGAGAUGAAUCUCAUUAGACUUGAGUCAGGCUGCAGGGGUAUUUUACUGGGCUGCUAAGGAGAUGGAUGAGGUCCAGCAGUGUGUCACAUCUAUCCCAAAUGCGGACAGAAGAUGACACUUUCUUGUCAAGAAGAUACCUGGACCAUUACGGUGCUUUCCCAAUUACCACAGGGCCCUCUGAAGGCAAUAUAUAUA